rnacentral:lncRNA from 1 species
AUCAUCUGGAAUUCUAUGUCCCCAGAAGUUCUUGAGGGUGGUAGUCAAAAUGGAAGCCCAGGUUAUUUAAUUUGACUCAAGUGCCUACAAAGUUGCCAACAUCUCUAGGCGUCAACAACUAGAUUUUUGUUAUAGAGGAAGUACAUAUGAAGAGGUCUCUGAAAACUCCAGCUUACCAAUAACCUUCUUAACCUGUGUGGAGUGCCCAGAAGUGAAGACAAUACUCCA